rnacentral:rRNA from 1 species
AGAGUUUGAUCCUGGCUCAGGAUGAACGCUAGCUACAGGCUUAACACAUGCAAGUCGAGGGGCAGCAUGGUCUUAGCUUGCUAAGGCCGAUGGCGACCGGCGCACGGGUGAGUAACACGUAUCCAACCUGCCGUCUACUCUUGGGACAGCCUUCUGAAAAGGAAGAUUAAUACAAGAUGGCAUCAUGAGUCCGCAUAGUUCACAUGAUUAAAGGUAUUCCGGUAGACGAUGGGGAUGCGUUCCAUUAGAUAGUAGGCGGGGUAACGGCCCACCUAGUCUUCGAUGGAUAGGGGUUCUGAGAGGAAGGUCCCCCACAUUGGAACUGAGACACGGUCCAAACUCCUACGGGAGGCAGCA